UGUCCACUUGCGGGAGCCUUCCCUCGGCAGCUCCCACUGGGCCUUCUGGGGGCACAGGUCCAGGAGGGGGGCCCCCACUGGUUGUUCCAAUGUACUGAGGGGCUGAUAUGGAGACGCCAGGAGACAGCAGGCGAGGGCUCCACGGAGGGGGAGGUGCAGGCGUGUGAGAGGACGGUGGCCAUGGAGCAGAGCCUCUGCCGGCUCCUCUCCACUGUGGAAGCCAGAACACCUGUGGGGCGCCAGGCACUGCGCUGCAGGCGGAUGACCCCGCUGAAGGCGAGCGGAGAGGCAGACCAGAGCCAGAUGAUCCGCAUACGUGUAAAACCACACCUGGACAGCCAGCACCAUGGCCAGGUGUGCCAGGGAGAUCAGGACGGCUUCUCUGAGGAGGUGAUCAUGGAGCCCACGAGGAAAGCUGGGCCGGAGUGACUCG